rnacentral:rRNA from 1 species
UACAGAGGGGGCAAGCGUUGUUCGGAAUUACUGGGCGUAAAGGGCGCGUAGGCGGCCUGCUAAGUCGAACGUGAAAUCCCUGGGCUCAACCCAGGAACUGCGUCCGAUACUGGUUGGCUUGAAUCCGGGAGAGGGAUGUGGAAUUCCAGGUGUAGCGGUGAAAUGCGUAGAUAUCUGGAGGAACACCGGUGGCGAAGGCGACAUCCUGGACCGGUAUUGACGCUGAGACGCGAAAGCGUGGGGAGCGAACAGG